GACGGGGGGGGCAAGUGUUCUUCGGAAUUAUUGGGCGUAAAGGGCGCGUAGGCGGUGCGGUAAGUCACCUGUGAAAUCUCCUGGCUCAACUGGGAGCUUGCAGGCGAAACUGCCGUGCUGGAGUGUGGGAGAGGUGCGUGGAAUUCCUGGUGUAGCGGUGAAAUGCGUAGAUAUCAGGAGGAACACCUGUGGCGAAAGCGGCGCACUGGACCACAACUGACGCUGAGGUGCGAAAGCGUGGGGAGCAAACAGG
rnacentral:rRNA from 1 species